CCUGCGGCCCUGCAGCCCUUUUGUGGGCGUGUAUACGUGUGUGUGUGUAUCUGUGUGACAGUUGGGAGGGGGCUGGCGAAAUCUUAGUGCGCAGUAAUUCAUUUGUUGGCACAACUGUGAGCUGCGAAGGCUGCGUGUUUGGAAAUCGCCAGCUAAAUCAAUUCAAUUUUUGCUCGUUAAAAUCCCCACUUAAUAGGGGCGAUAAAGCGUAGGACUAGGUGCUGUUCUAAUGAACAAGGAAUUUCUGGCAGCUUCCAGACCUCAAGUUCAGCAAUGGACUGGAUUAUCCGUACUUCAUAUGACUUCAUACUGGCCCCUGCUUUAUUCAUGAGCACAGUCAACUGAAAGAAAUCGAGAUAUGAAACGGAAAGCAGGAUAUUCGAGCUCUAAAUUGGCCUGGGCCGAAAGGACAUCACAGCAGCCCAGGAGCGGGAAAACCCAGUGAAAAACUGCAGCACAACACACACACACACACAAAGGGUCGGAAAGCGGACGGAAAGUCGGGCGGACAUAUGUAUAGCCGGAGAGGCAUAUAGACAGACAGUCCAAGGGCCAGGACGGAACGUCACAUGCUCAUCAAUCGGUCGCUCACAUUUGCAACAAUGCAGAGUGAUGUCCGUGCACCUUGGAGAGGCAGUACACGGAGGGAAAAAUAAAAAGUAU